AGUCAUAAACAUAUCAUGUUUGUGAUACACUGAUAUAUUUUAGUAAAUACCUCUGUUUUACUUUGUCAUCAUUUGGUUUACACUAAUUCCAGUCUAGAAAUGUGAAUUCUACAAUUCUUGCCAAAUACAAAUAUACAAAUUGUGCCAUAGGACAAUAAAUAACUUUUUGAUACAAACCUAUUUUUAGUACAAAGGCAAAACUGUGUAGUGAAUGAACAAACUAUGCUUUAGAUGGAAAUUAGCAGUGAAAUGACAACUGGUUUGAAUGGAUAGUUUUGAAGCCAGCGCAAAUCUUCACAACCUUGGACUAGAAUGGGAAGAAACCAUUUAUUGUCAGUGUGGCACAGCUAUUUAUUUGCGAAAUAUAAUAUGACUGUGAAUCCCUAUGUUCUGCAUAUUUACAAGGGUAUGUCUAAAGAAUCUACCCUGGAAUAAUACAUGAAUCAUAUUCAUUAUUUUUGUAAACAAAUAUUAUACAGAUAUAUGUACAUACAGGUCGACCUCAUAUUUGCAAGUAUUUAACAUGUUAGUAUCUGUGCACUGGAUUACACUGUUGAACACGUGAUAGAUAGAAACAUAGGAUAUAUGAUAUACAUUUGUAUGAUAUUGUUUUCAGAAGAAAAUGAUUUAAUUCAAUUUACUGAAUAGUUUACGUAAAAACAAUAUAUUUUGCGUGUGAUGAACACUGUAUUCUGUGAAGGAUAUUCUUUAUCUAACAUAUUAGGACAUAUUAUAGAUGUUCUAAAAACAAUUAAAGCUGCUAUUCUGAUUCAUGUGUAAAUAUUGAACCAAAAAGAAAAAUUUAAGAAGUCUAUUAAUCAGAUUGGGGACUAGGAAGGGUAUACAGGGUUUGAGUUACUUGGGUAGCAAGGCAGGGAUGUUUGCCACUAGUCAGUGGUUUUCAAAACUGUCCUUGAGGUUCAACAGUCAGCUACAGUUUGCUCCAACAAAUCAAAUAGUUCAUGAAGUUAUUGACCUGGACAUGCCGCUGUUUUCUAUGUGAAAAGAUAUGAAAAAAAAUCAUAGCUGACAUUAGUUAAUCAACAUCUCCACUGAGCAUUGUUUAGUUGGAGAAAAUGUAGAUUCAAGCCACAAAACAACAUUUUGAACUUGUUAUUGAAAGGCAGGUCUAAGGGCAGAUGAAAAUAUAUACGUACAAUCCUUCAUGGAGUUUAUUUGAGAUAUUAUUAAAUAUUCAGUUGUUACCCAAAUAUAUUUUAAAGUAUGCUGAAAUCAGUGAGGGGACAGACCUAUUUAGGUGUUUGACUGGUCCCAUAGAUACCAGUAAGACACUCCGUGUCUGUUGAGUGAGAGGUGAUGAGGUUUGGGGUUAGAUAGUGGUAGAUAGUUAUCCUCAGUCAGCACACCUUUUACGUGGCACACAAAUACUACAGAAAAACAAAAUAAUAUAAUCUUGGAAAUAUUUAACUGUACAAUCUAUAAUAGUAUUGAAGUAAAAUAAAAAUACUAUAACGUAUAUACUGUAACUGGACAUAUGAAUAUGACAUGACUUGUUUAAAAGUUGAUGGUUGAAAACAAUGUAUUUUUUUAUAUUCCUGUUGGCAUGGUGUUUGUAACAGUAGUUGCAUAUAUCCUUUUAGACAGGAGUUGGUUAGUUGUCAUGGAGGACAAGACACGUAGCUCACAGUUGUGUCACUUUUCUUCUCACUCAACUGUGUUUUUUGUUGAUAAAUUAAUGCAUGAAGAAAAUUGUCCAAAGUUUAUCUUUUGAAUUCAAAAUAGGUAGUUGAUAUGUCUCAGAUAUCCCAGACCUAGGGCAAGAGCUGGAACAUUGUUUACAUUGUGGGAGGCAACCUGUUUGCCUAGGGAAACUAGUAAUUGAGUCAAUAUGUUUGGCCUCAGUCAUCAUUUAACUACAGAAAACAUGAAAAGAUAUGGAGAUUUGGAGCUGUGGAAUAUGAUUUGAGUGUUAAAACUCUGGUAUAUAUGCAAUACAAACCUACUGUAAACCUAAAACAUACACUGCUGUUCAAAAGUUUGAGGUCACUAAGAAAUGUCUUUGUUUUUGAAAGAAAAAUUGUCCAUUAAAAUAACAUAAAAUUGAUCUAAAUACAGUGUAGACAUUGUUAAUGUUGUAAAUGACUAUUGUAGCUGGAAACGGCUGAUUUUUUAUGGAGUAUCUACAUAGGCGUACAGCGGCCCAUUAUCAGCAACCAUCAUUCCAGACACUCUAAUGUACUUGUCCUCUUGCUCAGUUGUGCACCGGAGCCUCCCACUCCUCUUUCUAUUCUGGUUAGAGCCCGUUUGCUCUAUUCUGUGAAGGUAGUAGUACACAGCGCUGUACGAGAACUUCUGUUUCUUGGCAAUUUCUCACAUGGAAUAGCAUUCAUUUCUCAGAAGAAGAAUAGACUGACAAGUUUCAGAAGAAAGUUACUUGUUUCUGGCCACUUUGAUUCUGUAAUCAAACCCACAAAUGCUGAUGCUCCAGAUUCUAAACUAGUCUAAAGAAGGACCGUUUUAUUGCUUCAUUAGUCAGGACAACAGUUUUGCGCUGUGCUAACAUAAUUGCAAAAGGGUUUUAUUAAAAUGAUAAACUUGGAUUAGCUAACACUAUGUGUCAUUGGAACACAGGAGUGAUGGUUGCUGAUAAUGGGCCUCUGUAUGCCUAUGUAGAUAUUCAAUAAAAAAAUCUUCUGUUUCCAGCUACAAUAGUAAUUUGCAACAUUAACCAUGUCUACACUGUAUUUCUGACAAAAAAAUAUAUUUUCUUUCAAAAACAAGGACAUUUCUAAGUGACCCCAGAUGUUUGAACGGUUGUGUAUAUACAGUGGGGCAAAAAAGUAUUUAGUCAGCCACCAAUUGUGCAAGUUCUCCCACUUAAAAAUAUGAGAGAGGCCUGUAAUUUUCAUCAUAGGUACACUUCAACUAUGACAGACAAAAUGAGAAGGAAAACAUCCAGAAAAUCACACUGUAGGAUUUUUUAUGAAUUUAUUUGCAAAUUAUGGUGGAAAAUUUGUUGGCACUGACAGAGGUCAAACGUUUUCUGUAAGUCUUCACAAGGUUUUCACACACUGUUGCUGGUAUUUUGGCCCAUUCCUCCAUGCAGAUCUCCUCUAGAGCAGUGAUGUUUUGGGGCUGUUGCUGGGCAACGUGGACUUUCAACUCCCUCCAAAGAUUUUCUAUGGGGUUGAGAUCUGGAGACUGGCUAGGCCACUCCAGGACCUUGAAAUGCUUCUUACGAAGCCACUGUCUUACGAAGCCACUGUCCUUGACAUGCUGAAAGACCCAGCCACGUUUCAUCUUCAAUGCCCUUGCUGAUGGAAGGAGGUUUUCACUCAAAAUCUCACGAUGGCCCCUUCAUUCUUUCCUUUACACGGAUCAGUCGUCCUGGUCCCUUUGCAGAAAAACAGCCCCAAAGUAUGAUUUUUCCACCCACAUGCUUCACAGUAGGUAUGGUGUUCUUUGGAUGCAACUCAGCAUUCUUUGUCCUCCAAACACAACGAGUUGAGUUUUUACCAAAAAGUUAUAUUUUGGUUUCAUCUGACCAUAUGACAUUCUCCCAAUCUUCUUCUGGAUCAUCCAAAUGCUCUCUAGCAAACUUCAGACGGGCCUGGACAUGUACUAGCUUAAGCAGGGGGACACGUCUGGCACUGCAGGAUUUGAGUCCCUGGCAGCGUAGUGUGUUACUGAUGGUAGGCUUUGUUACUUUGGUCCCAGCUCUCUGCAGGUCAUUUACUAGUUCCCCCCAUGUGGUUCUGGGAUUUUUGCUCACCGUUCUUGUGAUUAUUUUGAUACCACGGGGUGAGAUCUUGCGUGGAGCCCCAGAUCGAGGGAGAUUAUCAGUGGUCUUGUAUGUCUUCCAUUUCCUAAUAAUUGCUCCCACAGUUGAUUUCUUCAAACCAAGCUGCAUACCUAUUGCAGAUUCAGUCUUCCCAGCCUGGUGCAGGUCUACAAUUGUGUUUCUGGUGUCCUUUGGCAGCUCUUUGGUCUUGGCCAUAGUGAAGUUUGGAGUGUGACUGUUUGAGGUUGUGGACAGGUGUCUUUUAUACUGAUAACAAGUUCAAACAGGUGCCAUUAAUACAGGUAACGAGUGGAGGACAGAGGAGCCUCUUAAAGAAGAAGUUACAGGUCUGUGAGAGCCAGAAAUCUUGCUUGUUUGUAGGUGACCAAAUACUUAUUUUCCACCAUAAUUUGCAAGUAAAUUCAUUAAAAAUCCUACAAUGUGAUUUUCUGGAUUUUUUUUCUAAUUUUGUCUGUCAUAGUUGAAGUGUACCUUUGAUGAAAAUUACAGGCCUCUCUCAUCUUUUUAAGUGGGAGAACUUGCACAAUUGGUGGCUGACUAAAUACUUUUUUGCCCCACUGUAUUUAUUGGAAAUUGAUAUUUUGUCAGAAUAGGAGUUCAGCUGUGUCCAUCCCCAUAUCAACAGUUUGACAUGGACAAAAAAUGUUGUCUGGCCUUGCGAGUACACUCAUGAGCCUACUGAUAUUGCAUGAGGACGAUGUUAAAUUACUGCAUUCUUCUGAAUCAAGUAGAUCCGUCCAUUUUUGUGCGUGGGGUUUUUUGGUACAUGAGAUGGCAAGUGCUGGAGCCAUAGAACUAUAGAGGUUAAAUAUCUAUGGUUGGAAAAUGACUGUGCGUUGGCACACGGAUGUAUGUUGUGCAGAUAAUGUGUAUGUUUGGCUACAGCAUGGCUCUUAGAUAUGUGGUUUCUAAAGACACAUAAGAUUUCCCCUAUAACCUACCAAUCUACUGAUCCACCAGCAGUGUGACUGUGGUAGUUAAUAAUAUUAUCAAAGACAACAAAACCAUGGCUUCCACCAUUGGCAGCGGUCAGAGAGACCUUUACAGAAUGGUAUCACAUUCCCAUGUUUGAUGACUCGAUCUCUAGAAGUGAGAGGGAUUUCAGUGACAGAAUUGUUGCAGUAAAGCUGCCAUCCUUCAGGUGUUUCCAAAGUAUCAUGUCCCAAUAUACAUUAGAAUCCUUCUCUACAGCAAAAAAAGAUGUCAGAUAAUUUACAUCCAUUUUUUAACAGGGUGUGAAAAGGGCUCUCGAAUCCAUGUAUUCUUACCAUGUUACAUUGGACCUUGCCUUGCCGACUACAUUGAAACUAUGAGAUAUGAAAGUGUUAAUCAGGAAUGCACUUCUGUUUACAACCCUGUAAAAUAACUUGACCAAUUUAAUUAGACCACCGCUUAAUUAAUGUAGAAUCCAACAUGUUAUAUUGCUGCGAGGCUAUUUGUGUCAGUCCAAAGCAGAUACAGGCAUUGCACUGUGAUAGUUUUAGCGCAUAUGUACACAAAUGUGAAUAACUGUGAUUUGUUCAAUGCAUGCAAGUAAUGUACACUGAGUGUACAAAACAUGAAGAAUAUUCGGCAGGGCAUAGACUCUACAAGGUGUCGAAAGUGUUCCACAAGGAUGCUGGUUCACAUUGACACCAUUGCUUCCUACAGUUAUGUCAAGUUAGCUGGAUGUCCUUUUGGUGGUGGACCAUUUUUGAAAGACUGUUUAGCUUGAUAAACCCAGCAGCAUUGCAGUUCUUGACACAAAACGGUGUGCCUGGUACCUUCUACCAUACCCUGUUCAAAGGCACUUAAAUAUUUUGUCUUGUCCAUUCACCCACUGAGUGGCACACAUACACAAUCCAUGUCUCAAUUGUCCUAAGGCUUAAAAAUCAUACUUUAGCCUGUGUCCUCUCCUUCAUCUACUCUGAAUGAAGUGAAAUCACCAAGGGAUCAUAGCUUUCACCUGGAUUCACCUGGUCAGUCUAUGUCAUGGAAAGAGCAGGUGUUCUUAAUGUUUUGUUCACUCAGUGCAUACUACAGUUUGUUUCUGCAAUGUAAUAUUCAUUUAUUUAUUUUACAAUUUCGAUAAAGAAUUUGGCCACAAGUAUUUCAUUAACAGUGUGAAACUAAUCACAGGGUCAAAUAAAUGCAAUGGUCCUACUGAGCAUAUUUUAUACAUGUUGAUUUAGAUUGAAAAUGUAUUAUUAUGCAAUUAUUUAACUACAACACAUUUGCCCCCCCAAAAACAAUUAUGUUAAGUUGCAUACAUCAGCUGCUUCCAGUGUAGUGUAAUCAUUAAAGUCACAAGGGAAAUAAAACUUAAAUCAAUCAUAACAUUUGAAGGGCUAUUCAGUCCAAGGAAAUUUAGACACAUAAUUAUUUUUAGAGAACGUUCCUCCAUAGCUGUGUCUCAAAUGACACCCUUUAUUUGCAACUAUGUUAUAUAUAUAUAUAUAUAUUUUUCAUGGGGUGUCAUUUGAAAUAUACCCCAUGCUCCCAUUUUAUGUACUAAUUCCAACUGCUGUUCUGCACAACCACCCCAUACUCUUCUAAAAUAGCAAUUGUUUUCCAUACAGACCGAUUCUUGAUUAAGCAAGGAACUUUUUAGUUGUUUUCACUGAGGAUGAUACAUAGUGUGAGUGGGAUUUGGUAGCUUUUACUGAGAAUGCACUACUGUGUGUUCAGUAUUCUGGUUCCCUCAGACUUUAGAACCUAGUAUAUGCAUGUAGGUGUGUCGUUUUCAUGACAGUAAAGUAAACCUCAACACAUUGUAUUAAUGUUGAAUAAGCCUCCUUUUUUAGAAGGUAGAAUUUUUGUGCAACCCUCAUGAUUCCUUCAUCAUCUCGAGAAGUGUGGGCACUUAAUGCGAGCAACAAAAAAAAAACAAGAACUAGUGUUUCUAAAUCUUCACUUAUGAUACUGUAUUUAUACUUGGUCCAUAGGAGCAUUGUAACGCAUUUUUAAAGGUACAACUUGAUGUAGAUCUAAAGAUAGCUAUAUUGAUUAGUAGGUGUUUUGUGUUCACAAUUUUAUGUUCACUCUCCUAGCAACAAAAGUGAUGAUGUAGAGUAAAAAUGUAGUGGUGUGUGUGUGUGUGUGUGUGUGUGUGUGUGUGUGUGUGUGUGUGUGUGUGUGUGUGUGUGUGUGUGUGUGUGUGUGUGUGUGUGUGUGUGUGUGUGUG
ensembl:lncRNA